rnacentral:tRNA from 1 species
CAUAGCUCAGCUGGAUAGAGCAACGCCCUUCUAAGGCGUGUGUCCGGGGUUCGAAUCCCUGUG